rnacentral:tRNA from 1 species
AAAGCUUUUUUAUUUUUAUAAAUUUUUGUUUGUGGAACAUAAAGUUAAAAGCUUUA